rnacentral:lncRNA from 1 species
CGGGAACGAGAUUAAGGAGAAUCACCGAUGUGUAUGAACGCAUGUUUUUAUGAUGUUAACAAUUUUCUGGUUUGUCUUUUGCCGAAAUUUAUUUGUUAGGCGGUUAGUUAGAUUGGGACGAAUGAAAAUAUCUAUCAACUAUCAUCCUAGUUGACUAGUUGUUGCCCUAACCCGUCAUGGGCAGCGCCAAGGAAAGUCUUGGUCCGGGUGAUGGAGCACCGAGGACCGAGCAACAGUUGAUGAACACUCCAUACCAUACCAUUUUGAGAAUGACGUUAAG